AAUUAACAUGGGAAACUACAUGUGGGGUCUGUGGUUUGAGGGUAAAGAAAAUGAUAGACUGAGUAGCGUUGGGCACUCUUUAAACAAACCUCGACAGUGGAAUGACAAGUCCUAAUUCUAAAUCUAAACCUGGAACUAAACAUGACAACAGAACAACGAUACCGCGCUAAUCUAUGCUCGCUUUCCCAAAACCCUUCAAUGGAAUCGAUCAAACUACAGGAUCUUCAAUCACUCAACCGAAGAGCUGUUAGUCAGGAUAACCAUGAAGUAGGGAAAUAUUGAGUUUCCUGUCGAGAGAUUUGAUGGCUGUUCAACAACAAAAGACCCUUAGGAAACGGGACAACUGAAUACACCGAAUCUCAAAUGAACAUUCAUGAUCUCAAUAGCAAGCCAUUAACGCGAAUGUUUGAUUGUGAAAAAGGUCAACUUCAACCGCAAUCGUAUUAUCCUGGUAAUGAAAACUGAUGGUUAAAGGACGCAUCUAUCUUAGAUCCAAUUUCAAGAUAGUCAAGCGAAAAUUAGUCGAAUGUUUGAUAUCUCCGUAUCGAACAAAGCUGUUUCCGCAGCAGUUAGGCCGAUCAGUAACAUAGGCAAGGACACACAUGCACUUAGAGGGAUUUAACCGGAACCCCAAGUAAGUGGGAGGUCGUAUUAAAACGUCUGCUCCUAAAUGAGGUUGGACAAAAAGACAUUACAACUGGGUAAUACUAAGAAUUCAUUGCAAAUGAAGGAAGCAGUUGAUUUUGGAUUAGGUUGUUAAUUGAAUAUCCUGAAAGGUGUAAGACUACUGCAAGUAGUAACGAGAGACCACGUUUACAUUAUCUUAAUAAAGUUUUUUUUAUUAUUUU